GAAAGACAAAGAGAAGAAGAAGGAGAAGUCGGAGAAUCAUGAAGAUGACGAAGAUGAUGAGAAGGUGAUCAAGAAGAAGGACAAAAAGGAGAAAGACAAGAAAACGAAGGAAGAUGGCGAAGAUUCAGAAAAGGCAGACAAAGACAAGAAGGAUAAGAAGGCUAAAGAGAAGGAUGGAUCAAAGUCGAAGGAUUCAAGUGGCGAGAAACAAGAGAAAAUGAAAGAUGAGAAAAAGAAGGAAGGUGACAAAGAUGUAGGGGAGGAGGAGAAACACAAGAAGAGAGAAAACAAAGAUAAAGAUAAGAAGGAUAAAAAGGACAAAGAAAAGGAUGGAUCUGAACCAAAGGGUUCAAGUGAUGAAAAACAAGAGAAAGGUAAAGAUAAGAAAAAGAAAGACAAGAAGAGCGAAGAGAUGGAACAGAAGGAGGACCAUCUAGAGAAUAAGAAUGAUAAGGCCGCACAGAAGGAUGUCCACAUGAACAAAGAGUUGGCGGGAGCUGCGGACUCGGGCACCCGCGAAAUCAAGCUAACUGACACUGAACCACAGGAGAAAGAAAUUGAUAGUGAAGAUUCAGAAGGCAAGAAGAAGAACAUAGAGAAGGACAAGGACGAAACGAAGAAGAGGAAGAAGGAUGAUGGUGAGGACGAUGAAGGCGAGAAGAAAGACAAAGAAAAGAAAGAGAAGAAGAAGGACAAGGGUGACAAGAAGGGAGAUGGUAAGAAGAAAGAGGGUGAUGGCGAUGGCGAUGAAGGCAAAGAAGGUAAGAAGAAAGACAAGGAGAAGAAAGAGAAGACGAAAGACAAGGGUGCGAAGGAGAAGACGACCGAUCCGGUGAAGCUGAAAGCGAAACUGGAGAAGGUGGAUGCCAAAUUGCAAGACCUACAAGCUAAGAGAGAAGAUAUCCUGAGGCAGCUGAAAGAGCUGGAAGGCGGCGGCAAGGGAAAGACGAAUGGAGAGAAGCCUCCUGCACAGGUACAGGAGGACAAAGGGAAGGACUCUGGAGAGGUGCCUGCACAGAUACUGGAACAGGGUGGAGAGAGCAAGGUCAAGGAACAGAAUCCUGUUGCCGCAGCCUGAUCUUGUGGAGCUCCUGUGGCGGUUGAUGUAACAAUAACUCUGAUCUGGUUCUGUACACAUGCAUUAUACACUGUGUAUAGGAAUGUACAUUUUGAGCUGAGUUGUAAAAUGGUACACAUGGCAUGCACUAUCAGGAUCUAUGUCUCUCUUACUAUCCAGUGAACGGAACAUAUAUAGCCGAGUGGAAUGCGUCCUUUUCCUGAUACAUAACACUGUAAUACUUUGCUUUGUGAAUAAAAGGAAUACGUGGAAAUGUUGUUGCUGUUGUCAUAUUUGAAACACGUCCAAACCCAAAGAACAUACUACCUCAAUUUCAAAUUAUAAAUCACUUUUCUAAAUUAUAAGUCAUUUUAACUUCUUUUUUUAUACAUCCAACUUGCUAUUGUAUAUCAUACAUAUAGCAAAUUCGAUCUACCAAAAAAGUCAAAGUGACUUAUAAUUAGAACAGAACGGAAUGGGUAGAAAAUAGUCUCAGUUUCACUGCUAUAUGUAUAUGUUCCCAAAGAUUUUUACACCCAGAGGAAGUCCGUCUUGCUCGGAACCCAAAAUGGCAAAGACCUGAUGAUAUCAUCUACUAUCUAUCUACACCUAUGAUUCUCUCUUCUCUGAUGACUUCGGCACAACCGCGUCACAACAUAUGUUAUCUACGUAUGGUAUUCCACGGCUGAGUAGGGAAAACAGAGAAUGGCUCUUCAUUCGGAACUCGGCAGGCUCUGCAGGUACCUCUCUACGUUGUCCAAGCCGCACAGUUCCUUCACCACGGGCAUGAUGGCAGGAACUUCCAAAUCAAAAUGGGAUGGUGAAGGUCCAAACCCAGAGCAGUGUGGUUCAUUCCUUGCAGCUCUGAUUGCUUCUCUUGUUGCGCAGUGCACUGAAGCUGCAAGAAGCAAUGGUGGCUCCCCAGAUGCUGCAACAAAGGGGACUCGAGUCAGUGGAACAGAAAAUAAGCAAGUGAAAAGAAGUGAAGUAUGAGCAAUUUAUGCACACACACAAUCACCCAUCAACAUCUGCUACAGCGUGUGCAUGAUGCAGUGUUUCAGAGUCCAGGGAAGCGGUAUCGGCGACAAGUGCAUGGACAUUCAUAAACCUAGUGCAGUGUUUACAUAACCUCAUGUAUGCUGGAACUCCGAAUUUUCUAGUGAAUACUUUUGGAACAGUAAAUAAUGCAAUUUAUGCAAAUGCAGACGUCCAGUUUCACUGGGCACCAUAUGCUCACUGAUAAAUAUAACACAUGAUAUAAAAUAAAUUUAUCAAUUUCUUUUCAAUUCAGAUACUCGGAUAGCGUGUUACAACUGCUGCAUCCAAUCUACAGAACAGAACUAGUUGAUCUAGAGUAUGUUCACAGAUGUGUGACCAGUAAGGAAACAUCACACCUUUUGAAGAGAGCACGCGUUUCUUGUGAAAUCCACUGUUAAGUAACUUCACAUUAAACUGCUUUGGGAUGGUGUCCACAGUUGGGAUCUUGUAUGUCCAAGUCCCGUCAGAGAUAAGCAAUCCAUCUGAGUUGGUGACAUAUUCCUCAGUCAUGAAAUAGCCGAUUCCUUGAACAAAUGCCCCUUCAACCUGAAAAAUGAAAAGCACUGAACGAAGUUAGCAAAAAUGGAACUACUAAAACAUUUAGAUGACAUCACAAGAUACUUUGAUUGUCACAGCUCAGCAGUCUCAGAAAAUAUUAGCAUUUUCCAAGUUUACUACAAAAAUACUAAUUUCUUAUUGCCAGCUAUCUGCUAGACACUAUGAUACUUCAAAAACAUCAACAAAAGAGAGAAAAAAAACAAAUCUGCAGAUUUUCUCAAUAUAUAUAAAAAAGACCAAUACGAAUACGACCAAUCAGAUAAUACACACCUGUCCCAAGUCCACAGCGGGGUUUAAGCUCUGGCCACAGUCAUAUAUAAGAUCACUUCGUACAAUUGUGGAGGCCCCAGUGAGAAGAUCAAUCUCUACCUGCAACAUUGAAUGCAUAGAGAUUUAAAGAUUUCAGUCAUUGACUGAUAUCUUUCUGCUGUCUAGAGCAGUUUAUCUUAAACCAAACUUAAGUGUAAAACAAGGUACCUCACUAGCAGCAGCCCCAUAGUUUAGGUAGGAACCAGAAGGACCAGGAAUGUAGUAUUCUCGUGCUGAUAAGUUCACACCAACCAUUAUGGCCUGCAUAUUGAUGAUAGCAAUAUUUCAUACCAAGUAAUUUAAUUUAUGGAUGUGCAAUAGCACCUGUUAUGUUAGAAACUGGCAACGAGUGAGCAUGUUUGUUUUUAGUAUGACAAAAGCAGAGACAAUCAAAUUCAAUUACAUUAAGGGUGGAAAGAAAGACACCCCCAGAAUGCACCAGUCAGUUCAAAAGAUAGUUUGUAAGAAAGAAAGUGACUAAUAACCUUGGAAAUAAGUUCGUCCCAUGAAACAUUGCCUUGCUUUUCUUGAAAUUGCUCCUUGACUGGCUUCAGCCUGUCGACCAAGACAUAGCAUGCGAGACGAACUGCUUCACAGCUAGAUUCUGAUGUGGUACUCCCUGUGGUCCACCCUCCUUGUACAUUACUUAAUGUAUCCGCUUGAAUAACUCUUAUUCUCUCCAACAGCUCUUGACUUCGAUCAGGACAGAGUUGUCCAAGACCAAACGCUGCCAUCUGCUUCACUUUUGUCCAAAGCCCCUGGCCUAACUCAAUGCCUCCAACUUCAACAGCAAUAGACCCAUCAUUAAGAAUAGACACUUUUCCAGGUGUCGGUCGAGAUAAUACUUUGUGUACUAUUGGCACAAAAGAGAGGCCUCUCUUUUUCCAUUUGUUGUUUUUGUUGAAAGACUGGAUUGUUUCAAGCCGAUGCUGAUAGUUUUCUGAUGCAGUCACUUGAUCGCAUAUAGAGCGAAGAGUAUAGCCCAUGGCAUCUUCAGAGCACUCACUAUGGAACAAAGCAAGGCUCUCAACCGUGUGAAGAUUUUUAUGUCUAACCAAAUUAGCAUCAGCGGAGAGCGUGGAAGCAACAUGCUCAAUUAUAGCUUCGGCAACAUAAGAACCUUGUACUUCCCCAGGCCCCCGCAUCGCAGACUUUGUAGCAAUGUUUGUUUUACAGAUCUUUGCUUCAUAAGAAAAAGCACCCCAAUUAUAUUUCUUCAGUGCCUCAAUGAAAUUAUGAGGGAUUAUGAGGCUAACAUCUUUUGUCAUUCCUGCAUUUAUGAACAAAUCUAUAUGCAAAGCAGUGAUUUUCCCAUCUGAUUUGAAUCCCACUGAAUAGCAUAUUUUCAUGGGAUGCCGACCUCCAGUCACUAUCAUGUCAGUCUUGCGGUCAAGAUACAUACGGACAGGACGACACAACUUAAAUGCUGCAAGCGCACACGCAGUUGCCACCUAUAAGUAAAACAGGAUGAGUGUUCCUUUAAGAAAAUCGCCAGGUUAUAGUGUAGGGCAGGCUCAUUCAGCUUUACUAUUCAGUAUAGUGUCAUGGAUGUGCUAAAAAAAGAAGAGCUGGAGAUCUUGUUCUAUUAUUUGACCACACAACAUGACUGAUCAUGAUGUGCCCUUACGACAUGCAGACAUGUGCAGAUAGUUACCAGCAGUGUUAAUGAUACUCAUGUUUUCAGAUUCUGGUAGUCAACUAAACCUCUAUGAUUUAGAGGGCAUGUAACAGUGAACUUUUGCCACGUUUAUGCACCAUUUAUGCUCCAUAAUAAUGCAAUUCUGGUGAAAACGAACUUUGUUUCCAGAACUUUAAGAAUGGAUGGAAUGAUAUAAAUGCUUAUGGCCUGACACUUACAGGUAAUGAUCUAACAGCUUUUCCUCCAAAUCCACCACCAACUCUUCUGGUAAUAACACGAACAUUGUGACAAGGUAAACCAAGGCACUUUGCAAUGACAUUCUGUGCUGUCUCGGGGCAUUGGCUUGAGCUAUACACUACCAAACAGUUAUCCUCAUCGGGUAUUGCCAGAGCAGCUUGUGUUUCCAUGUAAAAGUAGUACUGAGAAUUAAGUUUAACCUGCAAAAAGUGUUCGUCAGCUGCAGAAUAUAUUAGCAAUAUAAAAGAUUGAUCAGAAGAAGAUGCCCACUAAACGUUAUUCCCUUGUUAGGAUCUGUCAGAGCCCCAUAGGGACCAGCUACAUACAAGGUUAGCCAAGGUAGGGCAGCACUAAAUCAAAAGCAAAGGAAUAGGACAUACACAAGUACUCCACAAAACUAGUUUAGCUGAAUCGCUUUUAGCAGCAAAGGUGGCCCAACACAUAAGUAACAUAAUAUAUAGCAAACCUGUUAAGAUCUCAUACCACAAGGGCCCAAUGCUUAGUGGAGAACCCAUGUAAGAUAUUAAUUUGACCAAUGAUUAUGAAUGCUAGUGCUCAAGCACAUACUCUGCCUGCUUUACAUUAAAAUAAUUUAUCCACAGACCAAACUGAUGCACAAAGUGUACCUCAGAGGAGAUUUUCUGAUCUGCUUCUGCCAUUCCUUUUGAGAAAUCACCAAUUUUCUGAGGAAGAAGAAACGGUGGGGUUUCAAAAUAACUGCACCUUUUAACAGCCUCCUCUAUGGAUAAAAUUGGAGCAUCUAAGUUCUCAGUACUGUAGUCAAUAACAGCUCUUUUUGCAGCUAUAUUGGCAAAUCUUUGUGUUUCUGCAAUCUGUGCCAAAAAGAUUCAGUAACAACAGAACUGAAUCAUAACACACAUGAUCAUAGACAUAAUUUUCAUUACUAAAGGAAAUAAGUCCAGAAAUUUUCUUUAAAUCCAGAAAUAUAACUACAAACCAUACCACAACACCAAGAGGUUCCCCUGCACACUGAGUAACUGGAUCACCAAACAGAGGUUCAGGUCCAAAUAUAGUGUUGGCCCCAACAUUGCUGCCACCUUCCGGAAUAUCCUUAACAGUAACUACUUCCAGCGUUUUAAGCUGCUCGAGUGAAAGGUCGAGUUUUAUGCUCUUCACAUGGGCUAAAGGUUUUGUGCUAUAUAUAAAUGCUCCAUAAACACAGUCCUUGGGAGCGGGGAUGUCAUCCACAAAUACGGCCUCACCUAUAUGUGGUGGUUUUGUAUCAGCACCGAAGUUUACUUUCCAAAAGAAUAGGUGAUGAAAAGCAACUGCCACUGGUUAAAUAAGUCACAUAGCUAAAACUUAAAGAAGAGACUGAAAUAUCAAUAACUAUUAUUACAGAUACAAUUAAAAAGGGGAGAUAAGAAGACAAACCAUAAAUAGCAUGACCAAGGAUGCAAGCAAAUAUGUAACUAUUUGCAUUAAAAAAAACAAAUGUAACCAUAAAUAAUUAAAUUGUUAGCAAGCCUAUGCAAUAGAUAACUACCAGUUUAUAUUCCACAAAAGUACUUCCUCCAGAGUAAGUGGUGUUAUGGGAGUGUGCGGCCAAAUUAUAAAUUUUGGUUAUCAAUGUUUCCAUGAAUUUUGAUUCGACAUAUGGAAAUGGUAUGUGCAGAUUUAUAUUGAGAAAUACUUCAAUGAUACAAUAAAUGGUACCAGGUCUCUUCAUAUUAUAAUAGACAAAUUAGUUAUGAAGUACCAUUUGCAAGACCACUUGUAUAGUACAUGUUAAAUGUCACUUAUGUUUGUCGGUAGGGAGUGAUUAUAAAAUACAAGUGCAAAGUGCAUACCAGAGGUUUGGAGUUCUGCUCCAACUUUCUUGGUUGGUAUGCCAACAGGGAGAUAGUCUUUAUUGAUUUCAAUAAUCUGGUUUGAAUAUUCAAGAAUGCGAUCAUUGGUACAUGAACCAGAGUUCACAUCAUUGAUCUUCUUAAGUGAAACAUCAACAUCCGCAUCGGGUCCACAAUUUGGAUUUCCGUUAGUGCCAGAAGUUACAUAGCCAUUAAGAUGAACUGCCUUUACAGGCUUCAAAGUUCCUUCAGUUACUGGGUAAAGAAAACUAAACAGAAAGGCAACUGCCAAGCUUGACCUAUAAGCAGCAUGCCUUGUGCCUUCUUUAGGAACAAUUGUUUCCUUGAGAAGUCUACAUGCUUCAAGUAGCACCGAUGCAGUAAUAGGUUUACCCACUAACAGUUUCUCAAUAUUCCUAGCCCUGAUGGCGUGUUGGCUCCCAUACGCACCAAAAGCCAGACAUAGCUCUGUCAAUACUAAGCUGCUUGAAGUUUCAUCUGAAGAGACUUGAGCCAAGAAAGCCGAAUUAAGAUAUGCGACUGCAUUGCCAAGAGGGCGUGGAGCAGCUCGGUACGUCUCAAAUAGCACAGAAGUUCCUAUUUUACUUACUGUCCCAUCCAUGGUUUUACCACCAGAUAAGCCACCAAUGAGAGUCCACCGAGGAAUGUAAAUGUUUAAUAGCAGUGUCUUGUGAUCACAAGGUGGCAUCUGAAGGAAGUUCUCCAACGUGACAGUCAACCUUUUUGAUGAUGCCUGGAUGCAUAUUGAUGAACCAGCAGCAAGGAGGAUCGUUGCAACGUCAGAGGCAAACUGGUCCCUCUGUGCCAUUAUCAAAUUUCCACCCAAACUUGCGGUGUUCCGAACAAAUGGAGAAGCCACUUUUUCCAUAUGAUCAGCAAUCUUACAGAAUAUCACAUCAUUGCAGCCACCAGCUUCUACUCUUAAAAUCUCAAUUGCCUGAGAAAUCGGUACUGCAGCUCCAAUGUGAACACCAUUGGCUUCCUUAUUAACCGAAUUCAGCUCUGGGAUGCAUCUGAGGUCAAUGUACCUAUCAUACACAUCUGUUUCUCUGUAAACGCCUGAAGCGGUGUUUCCCACAACCACCUUUGUUCUACUUUCGCCAAACAACUCAGAACCUACCAGCUUAUAGUACUCCUCCACGCUCCGAGGCCGGUGCCAAGUGCUGGCACUUCCGACCAAUGCCGGCGGCGUGUACAGGUCAUCAACCCCAGAAGAAGCUCUGAUCUCAGCCUUAAGGAACUCCGGGAACACACCGAUGCUCCCCUCGUCGUACCGCGGCAGCUUGGAAGCAUGGGCGUCCCCUUUCCUCCAGAAGGAGUUGAGGCCCAGGUCCUCCAAAUCCACGUCGGCCGCGAAGCUCUUGCAGGCAUCGGCGAUCGGGCGGUACCCCGUGCAGCGGCAGAGGUUGCCCGCCACCGCCCGCUCCGCCUCAGCCGCCGUGAGCCUCGCGAACCCCUCGGGCGGGUCGUCGUCGGGCUCGGGCCUCCUCCCCGCCCUGGCCUUGGCCUCGGCGCCCGCGAGCGCCGCGGCGAGGGACAUGCACACCCCGGGCGAGCAGAAGCCGCACUGCGUGGCGUGGAACCCCGCGAGGCGCUCGUGCACGGCGUGGAGGCGUCCGCUGCCCCGGCCGCCCCCGAGCCCCUCGGUGGUGGUGACGGCGCGGUGGUGGAGCCCGUGCACCAGCGUGAGGCAGGAGCUCGCCGCCGCGUGCGACACCGCGCCCGACGCCGCGUCGUACGAGGAGAGCAGCACCACGCACGCGCCGCAUCCGCCUGCAGAAACGGGGAGGGCCCCGGGUCGUCAAGCUCAAAAUCGCGGAACGAAACGGAAGAGCGCGGGGGCAGGGAGGGAGGGAGGGAGGGAGGAGUAGGGGAGGCCGGGGUGGCGUGCCUUCGCCGCAGCCGAGCUUGGGCCCGGUGAAGCGGGUGCGGGUGCGGAGGAACUCGAGGAGGGUGGCGCCGGGGUCCACGUCCCCCUCGCGGAGCUCCACCCGCUCGCCGUUCACGGCGAAGACCACCGCCGCCGCCGACGCUGAGGAGGACGGAGCGGGCGCGGUCGAAGGCGAGGGCGCAGCCAUCGCGGCUCGGAGCGGUGCGCUGCGUGGGCGCGUGCGUGUCGGAACCCGAUUCUCAUCUGGGCGGCGCCCGCAGCUUGCUUAUCUAUCUACUGUACUCUACUCCACUACUGUACGAGGCAGCAGACUUCACCGCCACUCUCGCAGCUUCGCGUCCAGCUGCAGGGUCGCUGUCGGCAAAUUCCAAGCGGGGACAAAAACGGGCGACGCUGACGGGGAGGGCGGCGUGCCGCGUGUCGAGCGCCACGAAGGUGACGGAUAGCCGCUGAUGUUGACGAGCGGGGCCGCUGGUGCAUGGCCGGGGGGUUGUUUAGGCCUUGUUUCCAAAAAUUUUGCAAAAUAUAAAUAGUACCACUUUCGUUUGUAUUUGACAAAUAUUAUCCAAUCAUGUACUAACUAGACUCAAAAGAUUCGUCUCGUCAAUUUCGACCAAACUGUGCAAUUAGUUUUUAUUUUCGUCUAUAUUUAAUACUUCAUGCAUGCGUCUAAAAAUUUAAUGUGACGGAAAAUCUGAAAAAUUUUGCAAACUAUUUUGGGAACUAAACAAGGCCCUAGUUUACCACCAAAAUCCAAAAAAUUUUCAAGCCACCUCUUCGUGAGUUGUUGUGCCCUUUUUUUAUAUCAAACACUUGUUUCUAAAACAGUUUGACGAGUGAAGCUGUUUUUUUUUCCCUCACAAAAAUAUGAGUGGGAUGAAGCUGAAAAAAUAGCUUAUUGCAGCUCUUUCCCUCAUUUUUUUCUCCCAUCUAUGCAAAAUGUAGUUAGUGAAGCUAUUUUAUCAAACAUUUUUUACAAAAUAGCUUAGCUUCAUUUAGGAAGUUGCUCACGAAGCUAUUUUAUAAAAAAACAGUUUUACUAGUGAAGUUGAGCUGUGCCAAACAAAGCCUGAAUCUUGCGGCAUAACAUUAAAUAUUGAUAAAAAUAACUAAUUACAUAAUGUAUCUGUAAUUUGUGUGACAAAUCUUUUGGACCUAAUUAGUUUAUGAUUUGACAAUAAUUAGGCCUUAUUCAGUUUUGAAAUUUUUUGGGUUUUGGGUACUGUAGCAUUUUGUUUUUAUUUGAUAAUUAUUGUCAAAUCAUAGACUAACUAAGUUCAAAAGAUUCAUCUCACGAUUUACAGGUAAACCGUGCAAUUAGUUUUUGUUUUUAUCUAUAUUUAAUAAUUUAUGCAUGUGGUGCAAGACUCGAUGUGAUGAGAAAUCUUUAAAAGUUUUUGGUUUUAAAGGUGAACUAAACAAAACCCUACCAAAUACAAACAAAAAUAGUAGCAAAUCCAAUUUUUUCGCGAACUAAACAAUUCCUUACUUUUUUUUACCAAGUACCAUAUCCCGCCUAUGUUCGCUGAUUUAUUUGUGAAAAAAGCAUUGUUAAAUAGUUGUCAGAUUCGAUAAAUAAGCUCAAGCGAACAGAGGCUAUAUCUUUGACAAAUCGCUAGAUACAAGGUUUAUUAUAUACAAAGAUCCGUGGCUCAUUAACACAUCUGAACCGGAUUCCAACAUAUAAACUCCAUGGACAGCUAAAGUAUGUGCCAUCUUAUUACAUGAUCUAUUACAGAAAGAGACAUCACAAAGAAACUCUAUUUACAUAAUGUUUUAUAUUUGAAUUACCAGAGGACCAAUAAUGCUUCGAUCUAAAUUUGUAGAGCAUUACCAAGCACUGUAGAAUCUGUCUCCAAAAUAAUUGUUGACAUUCCUUGUAGGCAGACACGCGACGCGGGUGGCUUUCGCGUUCGGGCCUUCGGGUUCGGGGUCGAUUGAUUGGCUGAUGCGCGUGUGCGUGGAUUGGUCGGCACGUGAGGCUUUGUUUAGACGUAGUUGGUUUAGUAUCAAUCCAUUUAACUCUACAAAUCCCGUGGGGUUCUCAAAAGGAACCCACGUCCACGUCUACCCAAAUUAGUUCUGCCGUUUGAUUACCUCCAUUAACGGUCAAGAUUACAUGCACAAAUAGUGUUUAGAAGCUGAUUCUGCUUAUGUUGACUAGCUUCCGAGAUUCUAAGUCGAUUCCUGGUCUCUAUGCACUACUGUCCCGCUUUUUCUUCGAAUCAGUCAGCCCACAAAUAUAACACCUAAUCUAGGUUCUUUAGAUUCCUUCGGAGCCUUCUACACUCUUCUGGCCCCUCCAUUCUCCUCUCCGCUUCCCGCACCUUCGACCCGCCGCACGCGUCGUUCCUCGACUCGCUCGUCGAGCUCGUCCCGCCGUCCUACACGCCCCAGUCUACUUCCAUCAUCGGCGACGCCUGGUGUAUUUUGUAUCGGUGUCCUGAUGCAGACAAACAUACCUGUAAAAGUGUGGCACGUAACCCUAAUACCGCCGCCGCCGCCCUUAAUAUGUGUUAAGUGGGUUGGAGUAAAAUUUUAACUAAAAUUUAUCUUAAUCUACUCUAACGUAUGUGGAUAGAUUGAGAUGAAUCCUAUGAGGAGGAAACGCUGCCGGGACCGGGUGAUGCGGCGUGGGAGCAGGGGGUCCCGCCUCCGCCUCGGUGCGGACUUGCGGGCCGGCCAUGCUCCGGUCACGUGCCGCCCCGCCCCGUCCCGCCCAAGCUGAGGAAAUUUCGGUGACCGGCAGCCCAACGCAACGAGACGGCACCCCCGAUCCCGGACGCACUGCAGCUUUGUUGGCUCCCACAUACGUAAAAUGGAGAUUAGUCCCAACGAGACGUUUGGAAAAUGUUUCCUCCUCAACGAGCAAAUCUUUAAAAGACGAAACCCGUACCAGACUCUUUCGCAUCUGAUUUGGCCACGUCAUCAAAAUAUCUUAGGCUGUUGGAUCUUGAUCGGGUGCACUCUUAUCCACUCGCUCCCCUCGAGACCUCGCCUUCCCUCGCUGCUGGCAGGCCGGCGGCAACUGCACCAAAACACCAGUGACUUCUCGAGACAUCCUUCUACGAACAGCUACAACUAGUACAACAUAACAAGGCACUGUAGGUCUUUACGAUUAUUGAUUAAUUAUCUAUUGCUUACCCACAUACUAUAAUUAAACUUCAUACAUUGAACGUUGGAGCAGAACUAAGAUAUACAAAGCUAAAUAAUAUAUACUCUCUUCAUACACAUAAAGAAAAUCGUUUACGACAACGACACGGUCUUCAAAGCCUAACUUUGACUCUUUAUUUCUAUAAAAAAAUUUAUCAAAAAAUGGUAUAUUUAUAUUUUUUACGAAAUUAUUUUCAAGACAAAUCUAUUCAUAUAGUUUUCAUAUUCAAACUUAACAACUUAAAAGUUAUUCAUAAUUUAUAUUUUCAAUGUUUAACUCAAAUCUUGUCCAAAACGACUUUCUUUAUGGUUAUAGAGGGAAUACAACUUUUUACUGGAGCUGUUAUUUUUGGUAUAUAGAGUGGAACUGCAUUUCUCAUAUGGGCUAGCCUUUUUUUUAGCUUUUCAAGUUGUAAAAAAGUUGUUCAUAAGAUUACUGAAGCACUUCACGGUGGCGUUAUAAGUGCAAGCCCAUUUAAUGUAAAAAAAAAUUGUUCUGAGCAGCCUGUAAUAGAGUGAAAGCCUAUUUUAAUCAUCAUGAGAAUGAUAUUAUGUUUCUUUCUUCAGUCUGAGAUUAAUUGUUUCAUAAAUGAGAAAUAGUUCUUGCAUAUAUUCUUCAAAACCAUGACACGGUGGCGUUGAUCCAGUGAAUUCUCCUUGUCCACAGAUUGAAAAAACCAGUGUUUUUCACUAACAUUCGCAUCUUUUUACAAGUGUCCUCGACAUAUAUUUGAUUGAUUAAAAAAUAGCAAUUUGACCACAUCACCACAGGUCCGUACUUGUUACAACUGUCAGAUAAUGAACAGUGGAUUUGCCAAGUCAUCUUAAGACGCAUAACAGGUAGAAAACUGCUCACGGCUACUAUUAGUGACUUUAUCUUGCCUUUUAUGAUAGACAAAGCAAUAGCUCAAAAUUGGUUUUGGUUAUGCAAAAUUUAUCUUUGGCUGAACUAACUAUCAGCUUCAACUAACUACGUACCAUCAAUGUCUCUGUUAGUUAUUAGAAACGCAUUGGUGAGAUUAACGGUUUACUGAAAAGCACAAUUGGAAUGUUGCAUCGGACAAAACAAAGUACUACAAUAUAAGUUUUAGUAUAAUGAUAUUACAGUUUGCUUAUAACCUCUUGAUGCCAGCACUCGACGAAAAUCGAGAUGAAAUGACCUAUCAAAGGUUGGCGCGGCAAAGCCGCGCCGGUCUUUCUAGUAUAUGUGAAGCUUCCACACUUGCUAAUUGCUAUCUAUCCAGGCGUCCCCUCCCCACACACUACACCAAACUGGCCAUUUUUCCUUGGAGGUGAUAACGAAACCACCAAGAAAGGCUAUUUUCCUUUUUUCUUUUGGCGUUUUAAACUGCCAAGGCAGUUUUGAAUCCUGGUAGUGAUAAUUUUCAUGUAGUUUUCCUCGUUUUAGUUUUAGUGAAGCUAUUGAAAAAAAGAUAUAAAGGAGCUUCCUAUUCAUUUUAUUCAUUGGCAUAAUCAUUGGUUACCAAGUGAAUUUUAUUAGAGGGUUUUCGAAGAUGCUAUAAAAAUCAAUGAAAAUACUUGAUAAGAUGUCUGUGUUUAAUAGAUGUAGCAAUUUACUCUCUCUCUCUCUCUCUCUCUCUCUCUCUCUCUCUCCCCAUUUCAAACUACAAAACGUUUUGAAAUUUUUAGAUGCAUAGUUUUUGCUAUGUAUUUAGUAUACUCCAUCUAAACAAUGAAUCUAAAAAUAAAAUGACCUCUUCACACUGCUAUGGAGACAAUAAAAUGCUAUAUCUUAUAAUUUGGAACGAAGGUAGUAGACAAUAAAAUGACCUCUUCACACUGCUAUGGAGACCACGAGUGUCACAACAAAUAUAAUACCAUAUUCAGAGAUGGUUCCGUGUGGUUUAGCUACUCUAAUUGUUAAACGAUAUGAACAACAUCGUGAAACUUAGUUUGCAUUGCAUUUGUUUCCACGCCCUAUUCGGUUAGUCUGGAUUGCCCUAGGGUUUGUUCAAGAUGAUGAGAUCUUAUAUAAAUUAGAGAAGCAAUCCGGGUAGAGAUUAUUCUAGGGAUCAAGUCUAUGAUAACCGAACGAGCCCUCAAUGAACAAAGAAAGUUAAUGGCCCAUUUCUAUUUUUCUCUGAAGCAACGGUCCCUUUCCGUGAAUAAUCGAGAUUCACUUCGUCCAAAAAAUUUAUAAAAAUUAUACUUCAUGUUUAAGUUCUAAAAAAAUCGGCCAAAGUUCAUGAAUUUUGGAGGUUGCCGAAAAAUUUCUAAUACGGAAUUGAAAACUCUGGCGCCAAUCCGACUUGCGAGAAACGAGUUUCAAUUUUAUUUUGUAGAGCCACUUUAAGCUAAAGCUUGACCUAAGCCAGUAUAUAAACAUCCUUUUUCUUUGAUUUCAGAAAAGCACUAACAGCCAUUCUUUCCCUAAAAAAAAACAGCCAUUCUUUGUUUCCAUGGGCCAGGACAGCCCAUAUACACCCAACAAAGGUGCCCAAACAGUUUCUUCCCAGUCUUCAGGCGACGACGAGAAGCGGUGGUGGCCGGGGCCUUUUAUUGAGUUGGGCCGUUUCCCAACCCAGCCCAUUAAGACUAGCUGGCUAUAGCACUAGCGUGUUUGGCACUGAGGCACAGAACCCCAAUCCCCACAAGGCCACAAUGGCGUCGCUGCUGCGCCUCCCCUCGCUGCUCUCCCCGUCCAAGGGGCCCCUGCUCCGGCGCCGGCUGCCGGCGGCGAGGCUCGCGGCCUCCGCCGCGUCUAGGGGCCAGGCCUCGGCGGCCGCGGAGACCCGCGGCGGGGACAGGGAGGGGCAGGUCACGCCGCGGUCCGCGGACUUCAACGCCUGGUACACGGACGUGAUCGCCGCCGCCGAGCUCGCGGACUACGGGCCCGUCCGGGGGACCAUGGUCAUCCGCCCCUACGGAUACGCCAUCUGGGAGGCCAUCCAGGUCAGUGCUCAUUCGCUCCUCCUCUCCCCCCCCCCCCCCCCCGUGCCGUGCGCCAUCCUGCGUUUUGACAUUGCUGGUGCAAAGAUGAAGGAAGAAUGACUACGGGCGCUUCUGCCUGCGUAGUCGUAGAUUUCGAAGCACCAUGUAGCUCGGCUCUUGUUGAUGCCUGAAUAUUUUUGUUGUCAAUUUAUUGUAGGACUAUUUGAAUGUCAAAUUCAAGGAAACAGGGCAUAGCAACAUGUACUUCCCUCAGGUUCGCAUAUCAUGGUCCAUCUGUUUCUGCUAUUCAUUUUUUCUGCAUUAGUGCUCAGUGCUAACAGUGCUAAUUGAUUCAAUAAAUAAGUUUGUUUCUGUAUCUCUAUGUUGUAAUGAUGUUAAAUUGUGUUUGAUAGGAAUACCAUUUAUUAAUGCGACAAAAUGUCAACUCGCAUUGCUAGUAAAGUCUCAAAAGGCCUGUGCUUAGAUGAAGUUUCAGAAAGUGUAAUUUCACUUUUGAGGGUACCAUAUACUAAAACCUCUGCAGAAUUACCAUAUUCUGUGUUAACAUGCUUCUGGAUGCGAAAAGGCACAUAAUUUUGAAAGGAAGAAAAUGACAAAUGGAUGCUGAAUUUCGAUGUUUUGAUGAGGAAGUUCUGUUCUGGUGACACAUGGUGGGAAAUUCAGGAUAGUAUGAAAAUACAUGGUCCAUAUAAUGUCACAUCUUCCUAUGCAAAUGAUCUCUAGGGAAGUGAUAUUUGCAUUGUUUUGUAUUCAAAGGAAGUGUGUAUAGAUGUCCUUGUUUGAUGACGUGGAUCAAUCAUGCCUUUAUCUUCCUUUUAGCUUUGUGUCAUUGUCAUACACUUUCCUUAUUUCAGGUUAUCUAUUUUUGUCACUAAGCGAUUGCCUCAUUCUUUAUCAGAGUUAGACUCCAUAGUUUGCACUUGUUAUCUGUAAUUUCUUAUGCUUCUCCCUUCUAUUGUAUCAGUUCAUUCCAUACUCAUUUAUAGAGAAGGAAGCUAGUCACGUUGAAGGGUUUAGCCCGGAGCUUGCAUUGGUCACCAUUGGAGGAGGAAAAGAACUAGAGGAAAAGCUUGUGGUAUUACUUUGCUCUAGUUUUAUGGUUAAAUUUGGUAUAGACCACAUAUUUUGUUGGAAAAAUGAUUGCGUAGAUUGCCUCUAAACCUGAACCUUUUGAACUUGUGUUCUUGAGGGCUUUGUAGGUAAGACCAACAAGUGAGACCAUUGUAAACCACAUGUUCACCAAAUGGAUUCAUAGCUAUCGUGAUCUUCCUCUCAUGAUUAACCAGGUAACUUCGUUGGCAAAUUUAGACUAGCUAGACUUGUAGUCCACUAUUAUUCACGAUAUUAAAUAGUUCUUAUUUUCCUAGUGGGCUAAUGUGACAAGAUGGGAAAUGCGGACUAAACCAUUCAUCCGAACUCUUGAAUUUUUAUGGCAAGAAGGUCAUACAGCCCAUGCCACCCUUGAGGAGGCAGAGAAGGAGGUUAGUUUUCACAUUUUGUUUCCAUGUUACUGCUGCUUCUGUUGAAAUUUCAAAGCCAUGCAUGUAAUGGCGCAGGAAUGCCAAGUCUUGAAAAGCAAUGAAAGCUUCUAUUGCACUAAUUUCAUCUUCUCCAAUUGUUAUUGCUCUGCAGGCGAUGCAGAUGAUUGAUGUAUAUACCAAGUUUGCCUAUGAGCAUGCUGCAAUACCAGUUAUUCCAGGUAGAAAAUCAAAAGUAGAAACAUUUGCUGGUGCCAAUCGGACUUACACUAUAGAAGCUAUGAUGGGUGACAAGAAGGCCUUACAAGCUGGAACUAGUCACAACCUCGGCCAAAACUUUUCACGAGCUUUUGGAACACAGGUUGCUACCAACUGUCUUCAUAUCAUGCUUACUCAUUUGUUGGAUCUGUUUUAUACAUUUUAAAAAUUCAGAAGAAAUUGUUCACAAGGAUUGGAUUUGGUUCUUUUUAAUUGUUUCUUGUUUUCUAGAUAUUGCUUUAGAAAUUAACAAAAAUUUUGAUUUUUUUUUUUCAAUGUCUGCAGUUUAUGGAUGAAAAUGGUCAAAUCGAACACGUCUGGCAGACCUCUUGGGCUAUUAGUACUCGUUUUGUUGGUGGGAUUAUCAUGACCCACGGUGAUGAUGCCGGUCUAAUGCUUCCACCAAGGAUUGCACCCAUUCAGGUAUCCCUCUCUCCCUCCUUCAUUUGCUUGCUUUUAUAUGCACAACCUUCUAUCUGAUUAACCUAGUCUUCCCUCCGUUGUUUCUUGUGCUACUAUCAAUAUUUUACAAUGGAAUAAAUGGCCAACUUUUUUUUAAAAUCCAUACCCAUGAUGGGGCUAUCUAAGAAUGUUCCCAUUUAAUUCAGGUUAUAAUAGUACCUAUAUGGAAAAAGGGUGAUGAGAAGUCUGCUGUUCUGGAAGCUGUAGAUUCAGUUCAAAAAAUACUCAAAGAAGCAGGAAUCAGAGUUAAAGUGGAUGACUCAGAGCUGCGGACUCCUGGAUGGAAGUUCAACCAUUAUGAGAUGAAAGUAAUUGCUUCUACUCUUAUAGUGGAGAUCCAAUUCUUUGUGUGGUUCACCCAUUUGCUCUUACCAUAUUUAGAUUUGUAUGCUUUCAUCACUAUGAAAGUCCCUUCAUAUUUGAUGAUUUCAUUGGUCUGUGUUGUUGCAUGGCUAUGGCCUAUGUACAUCAACUCUGCCUGAGACCAUUACUCUAUCUGCUAGCACAUAAAUUUCUCAUUCUUUGACCAAAAAUGUUGUUUUGUGUGUUGCUUAACAGGCUAUAACAAUUUCUAGAAGGUUCUGUUGCAGUAUUGCCUUCAUUCCAGUUGUGAUGCCAACUAUCAAUAGGCAUAAUUGAACAAAAUCAAAGAUCUAUUAGAUGCAACAAUUUAUUUUAUGCAUGUAAUCUUGUUUUGAGCAUAGAUGUAUUUGGGCUUUGUUAUAAAUCAAUCUUGAUACAGUUUAUUUCCCUAUGUGGUCUCUCAUUUCCUUGUGUUGCUUUUGACAGGGGGUUCCUGUAAGAAUAGAGAUUGGUCCUCGUGAUGUCACAAAUAAGAGUGUUGUGGUUUCUAGGCGUGAUGUCCCAGGAAAGCAAGGAAAGGAGUUUGGAGUGUCUAUGGAGCCAUCUAUAUUGGUGAACCAUAUAAAGGGUCGUCUAGAUGACAUACAAGCAUCCCUUUUACAGAAGGCCAUCACAUUCCGUGAUAGGUAAUUGUUUUCCAUUGAAGGAUUACCUUGUCUUCUCUAUGUACUUUUAGGGACACCUUUUAAUCUUCUACUUGUUGACUGACGUCUGCAAACCAACCGCAUAAAUGUUUCAAUACCACCACAGCUGUUAAUUAUAUAAAAAAAAAGUUAGUGUUUUGUUGGUUAAAUUAGAGAGGUUUUAUUUCUUCCAUAAAUGUUUCAAUACCACCACAGUUGUUAAUUAAUAAUAUUUAGGAAGGCUCCAUAUCUUCUUUGAAUGGCUGCCUUUUCAAGGAUUUUUUUUCCUUUUCUUUGUGUCACUGCCUUUGCUCAGACCUAUUUUGAGCAAUUUACCCUGUUUCAUUCAUGCAGCAACAUUGUCGAUGUAAACUCAUACGGAGAGCUGAAGGACGCUAUUUCUGAAGGAAAGUGGGCUAGAGGUCCUUGGUCAGCUAGGUAGGUUAACUUUAGUAAACUGUCUAUCUUCACUGUCAUGUUUGUGCUGUAUAAGUACACGCACUAGUUGUUCCUGUCACAAUGUUAAUUUUACUGAACUGUGGCAAACUUCAGCGAUGCUGAUGAGCUGAAAGUGAAAGAAGAGACCAGCGCCACCAUCAGAUGCUACCCUUUCGAGCAGCCCGAGGGCACCAAGAAAUGCUUCAUGACUGGCAACCCGGCAGAGGAAGUCGCAAUUUUCGCAAAGUCAUACUAGGUCCACCGUGUCUGUCCAUUGCCAGAGAUUAAAACAGCAUUUUUCUUUUCCUUUUUAGGAUUGUACCCUGUAUCACGGUUCAUGGAUUAGCAGUGGAAUGCUCGUGCUGCUGAUAUUUGAAAUGUAAAUUCGAUAAUCAAUAGGCCAAUUUUGUUCCAACCUAAGCAUUGGAAGCUCGUUUACAAGUUGUUUGCCUACUUACUACUUAGUAUCAAUUGUUUCUAACAAGUUCCCCUGUAUGCUAAUUGGUAAAUCAUGUGUAAGUUACAUUGAAUUGUGCUAAAGUUGUACUACUGAGAAAGGAGUGAAAACACCAAUAAUUUCUUAUACACUGAAAGGAAGAUUGCUUUAUUCUGUUCUUGAAUGGAAGGGGUAGAAAAUAACGAAAAAUGUUAACAUAUUGCUGCUACAAAGUACAAUUGCUACUGCAUAUGAAACCAUCACUUCGUUGCAAGUUUGCCACCAUCUUCCGUCGUGUGUGCCAAGUUGAUGCUCCAUUGCCUGCCUGCUCCUACAUGAUUCGUUCAGACAUGGAAGGCAGCCGCCGGAAGAAAUUGAUCACCGGUGCCGGCAUCCGAUCCCGGAACAUGGGGUGGCGCAGGUAGUAGAACCCGGCGACCACGGCCACCAUCUUCAUGGGCACCAUGUACAGCACCAUGGCCACAAGCACGCACAGCGCGACGAACAACCCGGUGGCGCGCGGGUCGCGCCACGACACGAGCGCCUGCAGCCUCUCCGCCUGCGUCGCGACGUCGCCGACCAUCUGCUGCAGGCGCGCGCCCACCAUCCUGGCGCGGUCGUACCGCGCCCGCACCACCUCGGGCGGCCUCGCGCUCGGGAUCGUGUCGAACUCCUCGUCCAGCUCCUCCCUGUCGGGCGCCUCCGCCAUGGACGCGCGCACGCACGGGUGCGGCGCCGGCGCGCGCGGCCUGCGCCGGUACUUCCACACGCCCACCGCGGCGGCGUGGAGCGUCAGCGUCGGCACGACGAGGUCCGGGUGCCACGCGAGGACCACCAGCACGGCGUGCGCCAUCGCGGUCGCCGUCGGGUUCCGCCACGACCGGGUGUCCUCCACCCAGCGCGCCGCGUCGGCGACCCAGGAGAGCGCGGCCACGGCGCGGUUCCAGUUGGCGCGCAGCUUGCGCAUGCUGAACCCGCGCGGCUCCGCGGCGUCCAGCAUCCACGUCGCCACCUCGCGCCGCAGCGGCGGCUCCGCCGACCGCGCCAGGUGCGCCGCGGUGAUGCGCGCCGCCGCCAGCCGCAGCGCCUCGCGGUUCACCGCCGGGAUGGGCCGCUGGUGGUGCAUCGCCGGGAGCGCCGGUCGGCCGUACGCGUGCAGCAUGUCCAGCAUCGACCCGGACGUGGAGAAGCGGAUGGCCAGCUCUACGUCGCCCAUUCGCUUUGCUCCGGUGGGCAGCAUCAUGAUGAGCGGGUACAGACCACGGUACGCGCGGCCGCGCUCCAGCGUGGACAGCCGUAUCCUCACCUUACCCAUCGGCCGCGAGCACGCCGCGGCGGCGGCGGCGGCGGCGUCCUUGCCGUCUGACGGCUGCAACGGCGGUGGGUCGUCGAACACGCCGACGGUGAGCACGGUGCAGGGGUCGUACACCGGCCACGUGUACUGCUCGUUCCAGGCCGGGUCGUAGCUGUCGGCGAUGGUGCGCGUGCGCGCCCACUUGGGUCCGUACUUGGCCACGGCGUACGCGUCCGUGCAGCCCUUGCCGUCGGCGGCGCGCAUCGGCAGGAGGCCCUUGCAUCCAACGAUACCUAGCUCCACGACGCCAAGGGGAGGGGGCCACAGCUGCCGCGCCGACGGCCGGAAGUCGCUGCACGCGUAGGACGGCUCGUCGGCGACGUUGUAGCCGCCGUCGAGGCACACGCGCACGUGCAGCCGGCCUCCGUGCAUGUGCAUGGCCGCCUUCUUGCCGACUCUCUUCGUGGCCUCGUCGGACGGGAGGAGGUCGAUCCACUUGGACGCCACCUUCCGGUCGUCGACGCGCCUCUCGACGGUGGCCAGGGAUACGCUAGCCGAGCCGACGGGGAAGGCCUCUUUGCCGUGGCGCACUUCGAGGGAGAUGACGAGGCAGUCGUCGUCGGUGAACGGCUCGGCGGCGACGAAGAGAAGGUCCUCGUUCCACACUGGCCCUCCGUUGCGCGCCACCGGCGUGGUGCGCGUCUUGAGCGCCUGGAAGCCCAGCAUGGCGCGCACCGCGAUGCCGGCGUCGCGGGGAGGCGGCGCCGUGAGCGUGUCCUGCGCCUCGAUCACGGUGAGGCGCAGGAGCCAGAGCUUAGGCGAGACGUAAACCUUGGCGCGCGACGUGGCGGCGGCCGUGGCCGUGGCCGCCGCCGGGGAGUCCGCCUUCCACGCGUCGGCGAAGGCCUCGUCGGCCUGCGUGCCCGCCCACGUGGCGACCAUGAGGUCGGCACCACCGAGGCGGCGCCCGCCCUCGAGCCUGUACCACUGCGUCGCGAGAGGCCCGUCCGGUGGGUCCCGCGCGUGCACGUCGGCGGUGUCGAAGCAGAGGCCGCCGAGGAAUUGGCGAUCGUCGGCGACGGACACGUCGGCGUCGGGCGGCAGGUCCCAGACGGCGACCUCGAGCGUGGGUCCCGGCGAGUCGGUGGCCGGAUCGCGAACGAACGCGAAGGUCUGGUCCCACUCGAAGAAGGCGCCGCGGCGUGCCUCCCGCGUGGACGCGUGGUGUCCGCCGGCGGCCACGCGCACGUGCGGGUGCGCGCCGGCGGGCAGCCCGCGCGCGCGCACCACCCGGACGAACAGGUAUGGCAUCUUGUCUACCAGAUCGUGCUUGCUCUGCACCAUCGGCUCCUCCAGUUGGGGCGGCGGCGGCGCCAGCUGACGUACAGGCAUCGAUACCUGCCGUGGCAUCGGCGUCAGCGGCGGCAGCUGGCGUACAGGCAUCGAUACCUGCCGUGGUAUCGGCGUCGUCGUCGGCGUCGGCUGCGGUGGCGGGCUCAACACAGGCUCCUCUUGCGGCGGCUUCUCCUCCGAUGCUGCCACCGCCUCUGCAGUCAUUACGGGCGCGUCUUCCGACGGCGCCGGUGCAGGAUCAGCCGCCUCCGGUGGCUUCUCCGUGGUGGCUCCGUCACCGGCUGAUGCGUCUGCCGCCUCCGGCUGCGGCGCCGGAGCUGCAUCCGUCGGCUCCUCGGCCUUGGGAGGCUCAUCCGUGGAAGCCGUAGGAGCAGCAUCGGGUGGCGACGGCGGCGGUGCUGCUGCCUCCGGCUCCGCCUCCGCCGCCGCCGCAUCAGGAGGAGCGGCGUCGUUGCCAGCGGCGGGUGGCGACGGCUCCGGCUCCGGUUCCGGUGGCGCGAGCGGCACGUCGACGUAGUAGACCUUGAGGCCAAUGUCGCCGCGGACCCAGUUGAAGCUGUUGAGGAAGCCCUUGUUCUUCUCGAGCGGGAAGUAGAUGAGCGCCUCCUCGCCCUUGCGCACGAACUGGCGCGCGUCGAGGCGGACGCGGCCGAGGAAGUUGUUCCGGCGGGUGGGCCCGACGCGGAGGUCGUGCAGCACGGCGACCUCGAGCGGCUCCCCCUCGACGGGGUCGACGCCGGCGGGCGGGAAGUCGAACUCGAGCGCCUCGUUCCACGCCGGGUUGAGGUCCCUAGCCACGGUGCGCGUCUUGCGGCGCUGCCCGUCGAAGUCGGCGCGCGCGUAGGGGCUCGACGUGCCCGUGCCGUCCUUGGGCACCAGGUCCCGUGCCUCCACCACCUCCACGAUCAGCUUCCUCGCCGUCGCCGUCGCCGUCGCCGCCAUCCCGAUUCACGACCGAUCGUCGGCACCAAUCGCGGCGAGGAGACACCUUGGAGCUUCUUCAGCCUUCAGCUGCAUAUGGAGCUAGCUAUGGCGAUUAGCGAGAUGGGUCAGUGUGAGCGUGGGUGUAUAGUGUGUUAGAAGAGACACAAGUUAUAUAUAUGAACGUGAAAGUGGGUAUUAUUAUAAAUAAAGAAUAUAUAUAUUUGCCUGAGAUAAGGAAAAUUUCUCUCUUUUUAAAACGAAUUGUGAGAGAAUUUCAUGGCACGCGGUUUAUAAAAAUUGGAAAUGAUUAAGAGGCGGAAUAGUAGCUGAUGCCAAUUCCUUGCUUCAUCUUUGUGUGAAGGAAAAAGAGAAAUAAAGGUCGUAGAUGAACGGCUUAGAGUGAAGGGUGUGAAGUAAAAGACCUAGAGGUGCUUACCUUCAUGUGCAAGCAGCUGAUGAUGAUAUGCUUUUAUAUUGUAAAUUGUAAUAAAGCAUGCUAUUAUUCAUGCUACAACGACAAAGAUUAUAUGCGUGUAAUUAUUCACGUAUAUUCUUUCAGGUAAUUAAUAAAACGUGUAUAAUAGUGUCUUGUGUGUCCAAUCUCACUACCAAUAUGUUUUAGUUGUUCACUCAAAAAACCAAUAUGUUUUAGUUCCAUCGCACAAGAAUAAGGAGUAGUCCUCACUUAGGAACAGAAUAAGGAAUAGUUUCAGUAAAGGAGAAGUUCAUUUGGGCACCCUGUUAUUGCUCGAUUUGACUUCAGCCACACAAUGACACAACUCGAAAGUUAGGAAAUUUUUUUAACAACGAACUAUCAAAUACCAGAGAAAUUUGACCAUAUAGCUAGUUUUCAAAAGAUGGUUCUUUUGUAUUUCCUGAAAAUAAUUUUAAAAAUUACUUGUAAAACUCAUAACUAAUUCAUUUUUAAAUAAAAAUGAAAUUAUUGCCUUUUUUCUAAAAUAUGUGUAAUUAUUGUAUUGGUGCUAUAUUAAUUUGGUAGAGUUAUUUGGAUCUUAUUUGUACUGAAUUGUUCCUAUUAUUUUAUUGCUCAUGGUAGUGCCCACGAGUAUUUAGGUUAUCAUUUUGUGCUCUAUCACACCCAGAGAUCGACAAAGAGAAUUCAUACUCAGUACUGAAUAUGUUUUCCGGUCUUCACCCUUUAUGUGUACUACUAGGACGAUGAAUCACCUAGCUUGGUCAAUCCCGGAUAUAUGCGCAAAAUAGUAAUUUAAAUAAGCAACGAACAUGACUAGAAGCAAUAAAAAUAAAUAACAUAUUUAAAUAAAACACCAAUAUAUUUUAUAUCGAGUGUAUUUUUUUAUUUAAAAAUUAUUCUCCUGACAAAGAAUAAAUUAUUUGUGAUUUCUUAGAGAGUAAAACCUAUAUUUUUUUAUUUUUAGAAAACACAAAAUCACCAUAAAAUUAGUUAGAUGACCAAAAAAUUAUGUGCUACUGAUAGUCUGAUACUAGUUCAGUUGUUCAAGAUCGUAUAGGUUUUGAGCUGCGUACCUGAAAACAAACUCCAACAAUAGUCACCCAAGAUGUACACCUAAAAGGGA
rnacentral:lncRNA from 1 species